rnacentral:rRNA from 2 species
GUAGCGGCAGNACGGGUGAGUAACGCGUGGGGAUACNGCCCAAUGGUACGGAAUAACCCAGGGNAAACUUGGACUAAUACCGUAUGUGCCCUUCGGGGGAAAGAUUUAUCGCCAUUGGAUGAACCCGCGUCGGAUUAGCUAGUUGGUGAGGUAAAGGCUCACCAAGGCGACGAUCCGNANCNGGUCUGAGAGGAUGAUCAGCCACACUGGGACUGAGACACGGCCCAGACUCCUACGGGAGGCAGCAGUGGGGAAUAUUGGACAAUGGGCGCAAGCCUGAUCCAGCCAUGCCGCGUGUGUGAUGAAGGCCUUAGGGUUGUAAAGCACUUUCGCCGGUGAAGAUAAUGACGGUAACCGGAGAAGAAGCCCCGGCUAACUUCGUGCCAGCAGCCGCGGUAAUACGAAGGGGGCAAGCGUUGCUCGGAAUCACUGGGCGUAAAGCGCACGUAGGCGGGUCGUUAAGUCAGGGGUGAAAUCCUGGAGCUCAACUCCAGAACUGCCUUUGAUACUGGCGACCUAGAGUUCGAGAGAGGUUGGUGGAACUCCGAGUGUAGAGGUGAAAUUCGUAGAUAUUCGGAAGAACCCAGUGGCGAAGGCGGCCAACUGGCUCGAUACUGACGCUGAGGUGCGAAAGCGUGGGG